CCUACGGGAGGCAGCAGUGGGGAAUAUUGCACAAUGGGGGAAACCCUGAUGCAGCGACGCCGCGUGAGUGAAGAAGUAUUUCGGUACGUAAAGCUCUAUCAGUAGGGAAGUAAAUGACGGUACCUGACUAAGAAGCUCCGGCUAACUACGUGCCAGCAGCCGCGGUAAUACGGAGGGGGCAAGCGUUAUCCGGAUUUACUGGGUGUAAGGGGAGCGUAGACGGCUGCGCAAGUCUGGAGUGAAAUUCCAUGGCUUAACCAUGAAACUGCAUUGGAAACUGUGCAGCUAGAGUGCAGGAGAGGUAAGCGGAAUUCCUAGUGUAGCGGUGAAAUGCGUAGAUAUUAGGAAGAACACCAGUGGCGAAGGCAGCUUACUGGACUGUAACUGACAUUGAGGCUCGAAAGCGUGGGUAGCAAACAGGAUUAGAUACCCUAGUAGUC
rnacentral:rRNA from 1 species